rnacentral:rRNA from 1 species
ACUCCCCUACGGGGGGCAGCAGUCGAGAAUCAUUCACAAUGGGGGAAACCCUGACGCAGCAACGCCGCGUGCGGGAUGACGGCCCUCGGGUUGUAAACCGCUUUCAGCAGGGAAGAUAUUGACGGUACCUGCAGAAGAAGCUCCGGCUAACUACGUGCCAGCAGCCGCGGUAAUACGUAGGGAGCGAGCGUUAUCCGGAUUCAUUGGGCGUAAAGCGCGCGUAGGCGGCUGCCUAAGCGGAACCUCUAACCCCGGGGCUCAACCUCGGGCCGGGUUCCGAACUGGGCGGCUCGAGUGCGGUAGAG